rnacentral:rRNA from 1 species
AGCAGCCGCGGUAAUUCCAACUCCAAUAGCGUAUAUUAAAGUUGUUGCAGUUAAAAAGCUCGUAGUUGAAUUUCGGGAUCAAUACGUCGGUCGUGCUUCGGUACGUACUGGCGUAAUUGAUUUCUCCCUUCUGACGAACCAUGAUGUCAUUAACUUGGUGUCAUGGGAAAUCAGGACUGUUACUUUGAAAAAUUAGAGUGUUUAAAGCAAGCUAACGCUUGAAUACAUUAGCAUGGAAUAAUGAAAUAGGACGUUUGAUCCUAUUUUGUUGGUUUCUAGGAUCGACGUAAUGAUUAAUAGGGAUAGUUGGGGGCAUUAGUAUUCAAUUGUCAGAGGUGAAAUUCUUGGAUUUAUUGAAGACUAACUACUGCGAAAGCAUUUGCCAAGGAUGUUUUCAUUAAUCAAGAACGAAAGUUAGGGGAUCGAAGACGAUCAGAUACCGUCGUAGUCUUAACCAUAAACUAUGCCGACUAGGGAUCGGAUGAUGUUAAUUUUUAAUGACUCAUUCGGCGCCUUACGG